GCCUAUGACUAGCCUAGACGAUUGCUCUCAAACGGCUAAACCAACCAGAUUAAAAUGCGCUGUUUUCGAUUAAUACGAAAUUUCAGUCCAUAAGUUUUAUAUCUAUGUUUUACACCCCCGUAAUAUGUAGAACUAAUUUGCUAAUAAUUUAACAAAUUGUAAUUUAUUUAUUUAUUUUGGCAGAUUCUGUAUUCAGGUGGCCGUAAAAUUAAUGUGAUUAUUCGUUAAACACGUCAUAGGAGAAACAACUACAAAACAGGCGUAGAGCAGACAGGAUAGCCUACAGUAUGUAGCUCACGGUAGCCCAUCAACGUCUUGGAAUGUAGGCCAACUUUCUCGUUUCAGAACUCCAGCUCCUACAAAAAUUGAUUGCUUGUAAAGCGUAACCACGUCCUCUGGUGGCACAAUGAGGAUAUAGACCAGUGUGUGAAGUGACAGUUUACAAUGUACAGCUGGGGGGUGGCUUGUCAAGGACCAAGGAACAAGAGGAACCAGAUUCAAGACGGAUCCCACCCAACAUGAAACAGGAGGGCAGUGGCACUAUUAUAAAAUAAUAAAAAAAAUACUAUGAAAUAAAUAAAAUGGAUUAUGGAAAGUUAAAGGAUGAACAUAAAAUUUCAGCAUACAUAUUGCCAUUUAAUUCCUGGGAAUUUCCAUCUAUCCAUACAGGAUAUGGGACAACUUCCUUGGCUGUACAGUCCUGUUGGUCCUGUCCUGAAAUGUCAUAUCUCUCCCUUUACUGCAGCCUACUUGCUCCCAGUAGAAAUGUGUGUGUGUGUGUGUGUGUGUGCAUGUGUGUGUUUAAUUGAAAAACAUGACACACAAGUUUAUUGGUAAUAAUCAUGAAGUUGCCUCUCAAUUUACGUUGAGAAGCAA